UACCUGUUGAGGAUUGUGGUCUCACACCCCGUAGCAUUUUAUGAUGCUCCUUACAGCAGGAGGGGUAGUCACUGAGGAACUUGCUGGAGUGUUUACAGCUUUGCUUUAGCAAUAGACCGUCUUGGGGCUGACGCCUUGUCUGGCUUCUUCCACUCUGUUCUGAACCUGGUGUUCCUCUUUUCCUGAUGUUGAUUGACUAUGAAUAUUUCAGUGCAUAUUAAAUCCUUCACAGAGUGGCUCACAGCAAGCACUCGUAAGAGGUUAGGACUAAGAGACCCCGUGGGAACCUACCUUCCACCUCAGUGAUGUCAUACCAGGAAUCUGGAAAGUGGCAACACUCUUAUUAAAACAUAGUCUAUCCUAAAGACAUCCUGGGCCGGCAUUAAGCCCUUCCGGAGUAGCUGUAAGGAUUGCAGGCAUGCGCAGUGGCCUCUCAGCCACUGAACUACCAAGAGUCACUGAACAAGUACUGCAAGGCACGUGUAGAGUCAGCACUCAGCUGGCUUCAGGAGCAGGCUGUGCUGGGGGAUCUUUUGGCAAGUCUCUUACUGGACACCUGGAGGAAGUAAUGGCUAAGUGUGCCUCCAUGAGCAGGAUUCUUCCCUGAAGUUCAAGUUCUUCCAAGCCAACAUGGUGAACAAGCACUACUUUUAAACAACACUCAGGAGACAGAGGUGGGAAGAUCCACUGUGAACUUGAGGCCAGCCUGGGUUAAAAAAUAACACCC